rnacentral:tRNA from 1 species
UGUUGUUGGAUCGUAAUUUUAAUACUUCUUUUUAUGAUGCUAAUAAGGGGGGUAAUC